GUCUGGCAUGUACUCUCUAGUCACCACUCCUCCGAGUACGACAAAGUGAAAGGAGACAAGACUCACCUCCCCCUACUUUGUCAAUCACAGCCGUCUCGUCUAUUCUAUUCUCGAAAGCGUGUAGACAGAAGGCCCUUUUUUCGGACUGUCUUGUUUUCAGGCCUCCACGGCCGUCCGGGGUUCUCCAUUCUCAGAAAGCUUCAACUUUCCCACGUGUGAUUGUCAAUCACAGCCGUCUCGUCUAUUCUACUCUCGAAAGCGUGUAGACAGAAGGCCCUUUUUUCGGACUCUCUUGUUUUCACGCCUCCACGGCCGUCCGGGGUUCUCCAUUCUCAGAAAGCUUCAACGUUCCCACGUGUGCGCAAGCUUGCGAAUAAUUUC
rnacentral:lncRNA from 1 species